rnacentral:rRNA from 1 species
CCCUUAGAUGUUCUGGGCCGCACGCGCGCUACACUGAUGCAUUCAACGAGUCUAAAACCUGCUCUGAUAGGGGUGGGUAAUCUUUUGAAUGUGCAUCGCGAUUGGGAUAGAUGAUUGCAAUUUUUCAUCUUCAACGAGGAAUACCUAGUAAACGCAAGUCAUCAGCUUGCAUUGAUUACGUCCCUGCCCUUUGUACACACCGCCCGUCGCUCCUACCGAUUGAAUGAUCCGAUGAAUAUCAUGGAUUGAGGAUGCAAGCAGGUUCGCCUGUCUUCAUCUUCGAGAAGUGAAGUAAAUCUUAUCAUUUAGAGGAAGGAGAAGUCGUAACA